UUCCAGCUCCAAUAGCGUAUAUUAAAGUUGUUGCAGUUAAAAAGCUCGUAGUUGGAUUUCUGGUCUGAUGCCCUGGCCCGCGUCUUAUAGAUGUGUGUGCCGGCUGUGCGUCUGCCAUCCUUCUAGUAACCCUUCCUACCCUUCACUGGGCCGGGUUGGCGAUCUAGAUCUUUUACUUUGAAAAAAUUAGAGUGUUUAAAGCAGGCUUUUGCUAUGAAUACAUUAGCAUGGAAUAAUAAUCUAGGACUUCGGUUCUAUUUUGUUGGUUUCUAGUACUGAAGUAAUGAUUGAUAGGGAUAGUUGGGGGUGCUAGUAUUGAGCGGCCAGAGGUGAAAUUCUUGGAUUCGCUCAAGACUAACUUAUGCGAAAGCAUUCACCAAGGAUGUCUUCAUUA
rnacentral:rRNA from 1 species